UGGGGAAUAUUGGACAAUGGGCGAAAGCCUGAUCCAGCAAUGCCGCGUGAGUGAUGAAGGCCUUAGGGUUGUAAAGCUCUUUUACCAGGGAUGAUAAUGACAGUACCUGGAGAAUAAGCUCCGGCUAACUCCGUGCCAGCAGCCGCGGUAAUACGGAGGGAGCUAGCGUUGUUCGGAAUUACUGGGCGUAAAGCGCGCGUAGGCGGCUACUCAAGUCGGGGGUGAAAGCCCGGGGCUCAACCCCGGAACUGCCCUCGAAACUAGGUAGCUAGAAUCUUGGAGAGGUCAGUGGAAUUCCGAGUGUAGAGGUGAAAUUCGUAGAUAUUCGGAAGAACACCAGUGGCGAAGGCGACUGACUGGACAAGUAUUGACGCUGAGGUGCGAAAGCGUGGGGAGCAAACAGG
rnacentral:rRNA from 1 species